rnacentral:lncRNA from 1 species
UUUUUUUUUUAGGGUUUCGGGGAGAGGGAGAGAUCCGAAAACGGAGGGGUGUAUAUAUAGGCAUAGAGGGAGCUAGGAGAGUCCAAAUGAGGUGCGGUUUUCGCCCACACGAUCGUGAUCGAACGCUCUAGGACAUGGAGCAGAGUUUGGUGGGUUUUGGGCCAAAUUUGGGGGGUGUUGGGCUGCAACACACACGAGGCCUUUUCGGUCCCUCGGUUAACCGUUGGAGCAUCAAACGAAGUCCAAAUGAUACGAAACUUGACAGGCGGUCUACCGGUAGUAAACCAAGGCCGCUUGGCAAUUCUCGGUCCAAUACGGAAAUGUUUAAUCCCCACACAAGAAAGAAAGCUAGAAAUGACCACCGGAGGAGAACGAAGCGCCGGAAUGCAAAACGGACAACGGGGAAAAAUGCUCGAAUGCAUGAGAUGAACAUGUAUGCAAAUGCAAUGCACGUGAUGACAUGAUAAGGGAUGCACGAAAAAAGAAAAACAACACACGGAGACAAAGACCCAACCCGAGAAAUAAAUAUAACUUAGCGCCGGGGACGGCAAGAGUUGGAUACAAAUAUGGAAAGUAUAUCUGGGGCGUUACAACACUCCACCACUACGAAAAGAUCUCGUCCCGAGAUCUAGGACUGAAAGAACUCCGGGUAUUCAGAACGGAGGUGAUCCUCGCGUUCCCAGGUAGCUUCACGGUCGGAAUGGUGUGACCACUUAACUUUGAGAAAUUUGAUUGACUUGUUGCGAGUCUUGCGUUCAGUCUCUUCGAGAAUAGCAACUGGGUGCUCACGAUAGGAGAGAUCUUCUUGGAGCUCAAUGUCCUCGAAGUUGACGGUGCGGUCAGGAGUCUUGAAGCACUUUCGAAGCUGAGAGACAUGGAACACAUCAUGAACAUUUGCAAAGUUUGAAGGAAGCUCGAGUUGAUAGGCGAGGUCGCCUCUCUUGCUGACAAUCUUGAAAGGUCCCACGUAUCUAGGGGCAAGCUUCCCUUUGAUACCGAAGCGACGAGUACCUUUCAUGGGAGAGACGCGGAGGUAAACAUGAUCUCCAAUCUCGAAAGCCAGAUCACGAUGCUUACUAUCAUAGUAGCUCUUCUGGCGGGACUGGGCUGCUUUGAGGUUAUCACGAAUGACUUUGCACAUUUCUUCUGCUUCUGUGAUUAAGUCAUUACCCAGCAGCUGACGUUCACCGGUUUCAGACCAGUUGAGAGGGGUACGGCACUUCCUGCCAUACAGAAUUUCGAAGGGGGCCUUGCCCGAACUUGCUUGAAAGCUGUUGUUGUAUGAGAAUUCAGCAUAAGGAAGACAAUCCUCCCACUUCAUGCCGAAGGAGAUCACACAAGCCCUGAGCAUAUCUUCAAGAAUCUGAUUGACACGCUCGACUUGACCGCUCGUUUGAGGAUGGAAAGCUGUGCUGAAGCGGAUGUUGGUGCCCAUGGCCUUCUGAAAAGAAUCCCAAAACUUGGAGGUAAAGAUGCUGCCACGGUCUGAAGAUAUCACUUGAGGAAUACCGUGCAGAGAGACAAUGCGAGAGGUAUAGAGUUCCGCCAAUUGAGCUGCAGUGAUCGACUCUUUGAUAGGCAGAAAAUGAGCCACUUUUGUGAGCUUGUCGAUGACGACGAAUAUAGCAUCAUUGCCACGCUUGGACUUUGGAAACCCAGUCACGAAGUCCAUUUCAAUGUGGUCAAACUUCCAUUCUGGAAUGGCAAGAGGUUGGAGGAGACCAGCUGGCCUUUGGUGUUCUGCCUUCACUCUUCUACAGACAUCACAUUCGUUCACGAAUUGAGCGAUCUCGCGCUUCAUUCGAGUCCACCAAUAAGCUUGCUUGAGGUCCUGAUACAUCUUCGUACUACCAGGGUGGAUAGAGAGGAGAGAGUUGUGAGCCUCGUUCAUGAUCACCUUAUGAAGUUCACCUUUGGGCACAACAAUUCGAUCCUCGAAGAAGAGAGUGUCCUUGUCAUCAAGUCGGUAGCACUUGUACUUGGACUGACUCUUUGCAAUACCAAUCUUCACCUUCUUCACCAUAGCAUCAAGAAGUUGGGCUUGGCGAAUCUGGUCUUCUAAGGUAGGAGAGACUUGAACGUUGGCGAGGAAACCUUGAGGAACAACUUGCAGAUUAAGUUUGCGGAAAGCUUCACAAAGCUCGGGUUGAUAAGGCUUGAGAAUCAGACUGUUGCAAUAUGCUUUUCUGCUCAAAGCGUCAGCAAUCACAUUAGCCUUGCCUGGAGUAUACUCGAUACUCGGAUUGUGCUCUUGAAUCAUUUCAACCCAUCGAGUCUGCCUGAGGUUGAGAUUAGGCUGAGUGAAGAUGUACUUGAGACUCUUGUGAUCAGUGAAAAUAUCCACUUUCCUUCCCAAUAGAAGAUGUCUCCAAGUCAACAAAGCGUGCACAACUGCCGCCAACUCGAGAUCAUGAGUGGGGUAGUUCUUCUCAUUAGGUUUUAACUGGCGAGAGGUAUAAGCAACAACUUUCUUCUCUUGCAUCAGUACAGCACCGAGACCUUGGAGAGAGGCAUCACAAAAGACCUCGUACGGCUUGGUUUCAUCAGGCGGAGUCAGAACUGGAGCAGUGACCAAUUUCUCUUUCAAAGAGUUGAAAGCAAUAUCACACUCCGGAGACCAAACGUACUUGACGUGCUUCUGAAGAAGAUUUGAGAGAGGCUUGGCGAUCUUAGAAAAGUUUUCAACGAAUCUUCUGCAAUAGCUUGCGAGACCGAGAAAACUGUGGAGUUGCUUCACGUUCUGAGGAGGUUCCCAAUUCACAAUUGCGGACACCUUCUCAGGAUUCACGGAAAUGCCCUUGGCAGAGAUGAUAUGACCAAGAUAAAGAACCUCAUCGAGCCAAAAUUCACACUUGGAGAACUUGGCGUAGAACUGAUGUUCCCUGAGCUUGUCAAGAACCAAACGCAAGUGCUUGGCAUGAUCUUCCUUGUUCUUCGAGAAAACCAGAAUGUCGUCGAGAUAGACCAAAACGAAUUCAUUGGUGUAGGGGUUGAAGAUGAAGUUCAUCAUGCGAGAGAACGUCGGAGGAGCGUUGGCGAGGCCAAAAGACAUGACGGUGUAUUCAUAUGAACCAAAGCUUGUUCUGAACGCCGUCUUGGGAAUAUCUUGCUCACGAAUACGAAUCUGAUGAUAACCCAUACGGAGAUCAAGCUUGGAGAAUACUUGAGCACCCUUGAGUUGUUCGAACAGCUCAUUGAUGUUGGGAAGUGGGUAUUUGUUCUUGAUGGUCUUCUUGUUUACUGGACGGUAAUCAACACAAAGUCGACUCGAUCCAUCCUUCUUCUUCACAAAAAGAACACCACAACCCCACGGAGAAGUACUAGGCCGAAUGAGACCCAAUCUUUCUUGCUCAUCGAGUUGUUUCUUCAACUCCUUCAACUCUUCGGGGCCGAGCUUGUAGGGACGUUUGCACACAGGUUCCGUACCGGGCUCAAGUUCAAUAACGAAUUCAACCGGCCGGUUUGGAGGCAUCCCUGGAAGUUCUUCUGGAAAGACGUCUUGAUAUUCGCAAACGACAGGAAUCUGCGAAAUAGCAUCCAAUUCACCCUUCUCAUUGAGAGAAAACAACCGGAUGGUAUUAUCCCGAGCAGCAAAGACAAUUACAUCCUCAGACGAAUGAGUCAAUUGAAUCUGCCUAGCUGCACAAUCAAGCUGAGCUUUAUGCUUAGAGAGCCAGUCCAUCCCGAGAAUAAGAUCGAUAUCGGAAUUGCCAAGAACCACCGGAGAAGAGAGAAACUUGCAGUCGCCCAAAGUGAUUGUAACAUCCGGAACACACACUCGAGAUGUCAAGAGGCUGGCCGGAGAGUCAAUAGACAACAGUCUCGGCAACAUUUGAGUAACAAAAUCAUGCUUGGAAGCAAAAGGUCUCGAGAUGAAACAAUGCGAUGCACCAGUGUCAAAAAGAACUUUUGCAGGAAUAUCAUUAACAGGAAGGUUACCCAUGAUCACAUCUGAAGAAUCCUCUGCCUGAGCUGCAUUCACCAUAUUGACCUUGGCGUGCUUGGGAUUGUGCUUGACCACAGCUGUACUUGCCGAUCUGACGGGAGGAGGAGGAGGAAGACGCCUCUGGUUGGUACACUUGUUGGCAUAGUGACCCUUCUGUUGGCACUUGUUGCACGUGACCUCUGAAAGCGGACGGUGAUACGGAGCACUCGAUCUUGGAGCUUGAGACGAAGACUUGUUCUGAAAGCCUGGGUUGGGUGGGUGGGAGAAACCACUGCCACCUUUGCUCUUCUGCUGAUACGGCUGACGGAACGGAGGAGGAGGAAGCCAAUACUUCUGCUGCUUGACCACUUGAGUAGAGGAAGACGGAGUAACAUCUCUGGCACGCUUCCUGGAAGCAUCACAUCUCAUCUGAGCAGCCUCUUGCUUCAGUGCCAUGUUGUAGAACUCAUCGUAUCUCAACGGCUCAAAGAGAACAAGAGCGAGCUGAAUUUCCUCAUGAAGACCACCCCUGAACUGAUAGAUCAUGCUCUUCUCAUCAGGAACAUCCUGCUUGGCAAAACGGGCGAGCUUCUGGAACAACUUGUUGUAGUCAUAGACAGACAAAGAGCCUUGCUUCAGAUUGCGGAAUUCCUGAUGCUUACUCUCAACCACACUUUGAGGGAUGUGAUGAGCGCGGAAAUCUUGACGGAAAUCGUCCCAAGUGAUAACACGUCCACCUCUGGAAUCCUUGUACUGCUGGAACCACUCUGCAGCCUGAUCUUUGAGCUGGAAAGAAGCGAACUUGACAAAAUCUUCAGGCCUGACAUUGCUGCAUUCAAAAUGCUUGCCCAGAUCCACUAGCCAAUCGUCAGCAUCGGUAGCCUCAACACAACCGUUGAACGUCUUUGGGCCAUUUGCGAGGAACUGGUUCAGAGUAGCAAAGUGGUGCUGAUUGUGGCCUUGAUUCCCUUGACUGCCUUGAUUGCGCUCUUGGAGAAUUUGUAUGAUCAACUGUGUGUUUGCAUUAGUAGCGGCCAUCACAGCUUGCCAUGCUUCCGGAGGAGGCGGAGGUGGAGGCGGAUCAGGAUUCGGAGUCAUGCGCGUUGGAGGAGCCAUCCUGAAGAGGUUGACCACCAUUAGCACAUAGAUAGACAACAAUAUUGAAGCUGAAUCCAACGGAAUGAAAAUUGCAACAUAUAGUCUUCACAUCCGAACAAAAUGAACGAAUGCAUUCCUCUUCAAAUGAUCACAUAUCCAUAAAUUGAGAAGCCAUGAAGAAUUAAGGUAGAGAAAUAAAUCAACAAGGUACGGAUCAAGAACGAAUAAUCGGUAAGAAAUCCCAAUCUCAAACCAAUAUCCGUGGAAGAAGAACUAGAGCUACUAGAAUUCCCACCUAUGAAACUCCCGAACCUUUCCGGUUAUGCAAUCAGGUGUUGGGGAUACAGGGGAAGCACAAUAUCUCACCCAAACUAGCAAAUCCUACAUCCAGCUGUAUCCAUCCUUCAACACAUAACCAGGAAAACUUCGGAAACCAUCUACCUCAACCUUCGAAAAGCAUCCGUUAUACAAGUUAUGGCGAUACUCCCGAACUCCCGCCCCAGUACUGGGUGGCGUCGAGGUUAUCUCACCAACGAACUGCAUAAAAGAGAUUUUCGAUGUCGGCGAACAUAUCUCAAGUAUACCAGAAUUGCAACGAUAAAAUUGUGACGACAACACCUCGGAGCUCAACUCCCCGGGACACUGCCACAACCCCUAAAGACAGGAGGCACCAAGAACAAUGUUCUCGUCACAAAACCAUCGGAACAAAACCAAGAUACUCGCGUGAUCCUAAAAAAAAAAUUUAGUGAAAUUUGAGAAGAGAAGAGUCAAAACUCUACGUCAGGAUGCCUUACCAGAGCGAUGAGGAGACUGGGAAGUAAAAGAAUUCCUAAGCUCUCCGAUAUAUAAUUCCUAAGGACUCAAAACAUUUUUUUCUAGACACAACUCGGCUGCUAAAAACGAUCAAGCAAUGGGGCUCCUAAGGUCGGGGAAGGCUCUGAUUACCAACUUGUAACGCCCUCGAUGCGGCUGUAGCUCCCACGUGUCGAGGCACGACUUAGAGGCAUAACCGCAUUGAAAGCAAUGUCGCAAGUCAGGCAAUCAUUACAACAUCCCAUGUAAUAUAUAAUAAAAGGGGGAGAUAACAUAGUUGGCUUACACUCGCCACGUCACAUCAGAGUACAUAAAUAACAUCCAUCAAACAAAUCACUCAUGGCCCGACUACGGUGCCAAAAUAGAAAAGACCCCCAACAUGCGACAAGGUCCUGAAUCGAUAACCCCAACUAGGCACCACUACUGAUCAUCUGGAAAGGACACGUAGUAUCGCUGAGAGUCCUCGUCGAACUCCCACCUGAGCUCGUAAUCGUCAACUGGAGCAGAAUCACCUGGACCUGCAUCUGGAGUUGUAGUAUCUGUGAGCCAUAGGGACUUAGCAAUCUCACACCCACGCGAUCAAGACUAUUUAAGCUUAUAGGAAUGGACAAGGCAAAUAUAUGUGGAGCUGCAGCAAGCGACUAGCAUAUGUGGUGGCUAACUUAUACGCAAAAGAGAGCGAGAAGAGAAGGCGAAGCACGAGCGAGAAGCUAAAGGAACAUCCUGCGCAAGCAUAACUCCAACACCGUGUCCACUUCCCGGACUCCGCCGAGAAGGGGCCAUCACGGUAACACACACGGUUGUUUUGUUUUAAUUAAGUUUAAUUAAAGUUAUCUACAACCGGACAUUAACAAAUCCCAUCUGCCCAUAACCGCGGGCACGGCUUUCGAAAGAUCUAUCCCUGCAGGGGGGUCCCAACUUAGCCCAUAACAAGCUCUCACGGUCAACGAAGGAAUAGACCUCCACCCAAGACACACCGAUCAGACUCGGUAUCUCGGUACAACAAGAUGAUUCGACAGGUUAAAACAAGUCCAGCAACACCGCCCGAAUGUGCCGACAAAUCCCGAUAGGAGCUGCACAUAUCUCUUUCUCAGGGCACACUCAGAUGAGCAAUCCGUACAACUAAAACCAAACCUUGAGUUUCCCCGAGGUGGCGCUGCACAGGGCUCUAGUUCGGACCAACACUCAGAGGAGCACUGGCCCGUGGGGGGGCUAAAAUAAGAUGACCCUCGGGCUCCGGAAACCCAAGGGAAAAGGGGCUAGGUGGCAAAUGGUAAAACCAAUGUUGGGCAUUGCUGGAAAAGCUUUAAUCAAGGCGAACUAUCAAGGGGUUCCCAUUAUAGCCCAACCGCGUAAGGGACGCACAAUCCGGGAACAUAACACCGGUAUGACGGAAACUAGGGCGGCAAGAGUGGAACAAAACACUAGGCGAGAGGCCGAGCCUUCCACCCUUUACCAAGUAUAUAGAUGCAUUAAGAUAACAUAGCAAUAUAAUGAUAUCCCAACAAGAAUAUAAAUGUUCCAACAAGGAACGGCUCCAAUCUUCACCUGCAACUAACAACGCUAUAAGAAGGGCUGAGCAAAGCGGUAACAUAGCCAAUCAACGGUUUGCUAGGACAAUGGUGGGUUAGAGGUUCAACAUGGCAAUUGGGAGGCUGACAAGAAAAAGGUAGGCAUCGUAGCAGUGGCAAAGCAAAAGAGCGAGCAAACUAGCAUAGCAAAGAUAGUAGUGAUUUCGAGGGUAUGAUCAUCUUGCCUGCACAGUUGUCAGAGUUGACUGGGUCCUCACAAGCAAACUCAACGGGCUCCUCAGUAGCAAACUCGUCUCCCGGCUCUACCCAACAAGACAAACAAGCAACAAGGAUACAAUCAACCACGGGCAAGACCAAGCAAUAUGAUGAAGUGACGAUAUGCUAUGCGGGAUGCGAUGCAAGAUGCAAAAUGCAAGAUAUGACAGGAAAUGCAUGAACCUGGCAUCAACUUGGAAAACUAAGUGUGCCACUGGAUAGAGGGGAUGAAAUCGCUUGAAAACGAUAUAAAGAUCAUUGGAAUCGGAGUUACGGUUUGGAAAUGGCAAGCGUUUUAAGAUAUGACACCGGUAUGCGAUUUACAGCAAGUAGGCAUCUAAAUGCAACGAAAUGAACAUGCUACAGCCACCAAACAUGAAAACAAAAUACAUGGCAGUAAUGUACACAAGAUGGUUGACAAAACACUAGCACUGAGCCAUAGGCAAAUUCAUCCAUUAAGAGGUUCAAACAAGCAUGGCUAAAACGCAAAUGCAAAACAGAUUUCAGACUUGGUGAAAUUAACACUAGUCUGAAAUUUCAGAUCACGAAGCUCUCUUCGGAGCAGCAAAACAACAUGAUAGAAAACCUGAACAUGACAAGUAAGAACAUGGCAUGGAGCUACUCAACAAGCUUAAUAAAACACCCAAAGUGACCUGGGGCCAAAAGGGUUCACAAAAUACUCUACCGAGCUCACGAACAUCGCUCGAACACAAUCAGUUUUCAGACUUAGUGAAAACUGAGACAUGCUGAAAUUUAACUCACGAAGGCAUGUAAACGAGCUCGAUGCACUCCCUACGGUGCAAGUCAUGGCAAGGAAGGCAUAUAACCAGCAAGAAGGCACAAAGUGCUAGCUACACAUGGCAAGAACAAAGGCAUAGCAUGCAUGGAACACUAACGGUAGCAUCGGCGAAAUCGCAAACAAGUUGACGAUCUGCCCAGAUUAACAACGAAGCAAAAGUUGAGCUCGAUUGAGUCAACCUAGAGCACUCCACAUAUGCCAACAAGGACAUGGACGGAUAGAGCAUAACUUAAAUAUUAAAACUCCCUUACUGAUCAUCCUCAAAAGAGGCACGGAUCGCUAGGAAACAAGCUGGACAUAUAGCAUCAUGAACUAAAAUAUCCCAGACUUAGUGAAAAUCACUAAGUCCCUGAAAUCUGCGUUCUCAGGUACCUCUCUUCGCAAGUUUGCACAAGACAACACACACAUCCUAAAAAUGCAUGGGUGGCACCUCUGGAAAGAAGACAAAAUGCUUCACAAAUUAUCCCAAAGGGGCACAGGCAUAUCAUGCACGAAUUAAAUAUAGCAAAAAUGACAAAAGUGCAUGAUGAACUAACGGAUCUGCAGUUUAACUCACGAAGCCUCCUUCUAACAGCAUUUUGGGUAUCAAGAUGACUUCAAAUGCAAAUGAUGCAAUGGAAUGAAAUGAUGUACAUGUCGAGGCGAAGAUUUUGAUAUAUCAUAUGCCCAAAACGGAGCUACGGUUGCGGAGAUACAAGCAGUCAAAGAAUGCAUAAAAAUUAGAGGGAGAGGAAAAAAGUCAACCCUAGAAUUUCGGAUCUGAGAUCCAGAUCGGGGCACUGUUCACCGACGCGGAAACCGAGGUCCGCCGGGCUCUCGCCGGAGCUCACCGGAGGGAGACGCGAGGCGGCGCCGGGGAGGUUGGAGGAGGCCGGGCCGACCGGAGUCGGUCGCCGGAGCAGCGGGCGAGGGCGGCGGCGCUCGGCGGCGCCCUCGGCGGCGCGGGGCGGCGAGGAGGCCGGCGGCCGGAGCGGCGAGCGGUGGCGGGGNNNNNNNNNNNNNNNNNNNNNNNNNNNNNNNNNNNNNNNNNNNNNNNNNNNNNNNNNNNNNNNNNNNNNNNNNNNNNNNNNNNNNNNNNNNNNNNNNNNNNNNNNNNNNNNNNNNNNNNNNNNNNNNNNNNNNNNNNNNNNNNNNNNNNNNNNNNNNNNNNNNNNNNNNNNNNNNNNNNNNNNNNNNNNNNNNNNNNNNNNNNNNNNNNNNNNNNNNNNNNNNNNNNNNNNNNNNNNNNNNNNNNNNNNNNNNNNNNNNNNNNNNNNNNNNNNNNNNNNNNNNNNNNNNNNNNNNNNNNNNNNNNNNNNNNNNNNNNNNNNNNNNNNNNNNNNNNNNNNNNNNNNNNNNNNNNNNNNNNNNNNNNNNNNNNNNNNNNNNNNNNNNNNNNNNNNNNNNNNNNNNNNNNNNNNNNNNNNNNNNNNNNNNNNNNNNNNNNNNNNNNNNNNNNNNNNNNNNNNNNNNNNNNNNNNNNNNNNNNNNNNNNNGGCGGGGCACGGGACGAAGGGCGGCGACGGAUCGGGCCUCGGGGGCCCCUCCUGGGCCUCCCGGGCCGGCGGCGGCGAAGUGGGCGCGCGCCCACGUGGCAGCGCCUGAGUGGCGGAGGCGGGCGGCGGCGGACGCGUCCGGCGCUGGGGCGGACGUGUCCGUCGGCGGCGGAGGAUGUUUUUUUUUAGGGUUUCGGGGAGAGGGAGAGAUCCGAAAACGGAGGGGUGUAUAUAUAGGCAUAGAGGGAGCUAGGAGAGUCCAAAUGAGGUGCGGUUUUCGCCCACACGAUCGUGAUCGAACGCUCUAGGACAUGGAGCAGAGUUUGGUGGGUUUUGGGCCAAAUUUGGGGGGUGUUGGGCUGCAACACACACGAGGCCUUUUCGGUCCCUCGGUUAACCGUUGGAGCAUCAAACGAAGUCCAAAUGAUACGAAACUUGACAGGCGGUCUACCGGUAGUAAACCAAGGCCGCUUGGCAAGUCUCGGUCCAAUCCGGAAAUGUUUAAUCCCCACACAAGAAAGAAAGCUAGAAAUGACCACCGGAGAAGAACGAAGCGCCGGAAUGCAAAACGGACAACGGGGAAAAUGCUCGAAUGCAUGAGAUGAACAUGUAUGCAAAUGCAAUGCACGUGAUGACAUGAUAAGGGAUGCACGAAAAAAGAAAAACAACACACGGAGACAAAGACCCAACCCGAGAAAUAAAUAUAACUUAGCGUCGGGGACGGCAAGAGUUGGAUACAAAUAUGGAAAGUAUAUCUGGGGCGUUACACUCAUAUAACUUUUCAUAUUGGUCCAGCAGUGGUUGUAGUUCAGCAGGGAUUUCUUGGGCAACUGCUACCAUUUUAGGGCCACAAGUAGUGAAUAAGAAAAAUCCACAAACAACUUGCUCUACUAAUUUUUCAGUGUUGUCAGCAGCUUCAGUCAUAGGAGUGAGAGGUACAGUUUCAUCUACAAAUAUAAUAAACUGCCUAGAAGUGGUAGAUAUCUUCAUUUCCAUUUUAACAAAAUCCAUCUGGAUGGGGUUGUAUUUUCUCAACCAAUCCACACCUAAGAUUAUGUCAUAGCCCUUUAACUUCAACACUUUGAAACUGUCAGUAAAGGCAUGGCCUUGUAUUUCAUAUUGAUAAUUUCUUGCUUGAAAUUCACUCUAGAGAAUGCCUCCACUUGCAACAACCACUUUAGUUUUUGGUGUAGGACUAGGAGUAACAGCCAACUUGCUAGCCAUCUUAGGAGAGAUGAAAGUAGUAGUACUACCACUAUCUACAAGUGUUGUAGCCAUAGUACUGCCCAGUUUUACUGUCAAUAUGAAAGUAUUUUUAGUUGCACAAAUUCCCAUUGCAGCAUGCAUUGAUACUUUCAACACCGUUUCAUCAGUUGACUGCUCAGUAAUAUCCACUUGAUUAUCAUCAUAAUAUGCCACAAAAAUAGUUUUAGGAGUGUCAUCCUCUUGAGCUUGCAGGGCUUGGAUUUGUGCUCUUUGGCUCAUCUUACACACCUGCCUAUGACCAUGCACCCAUGGUUCUCUACAUUUAUAACACACUUGAUUCUGCUUAGCUUGCUGGAUGAACACAUUUCUAUUAGGUGUUGCAUUAGGAACCAGUGGUUUGGACUGUUCAAAUAUCAUUUGCCUUCUAGGUUGAGGAACAUACUGCUUAUUUGGUAAAGUUUGAUUGGAUGGCUGAGAUUUUUUCAUUCUUCUAGCAUACCACACAACAGUUUGGAGAUCUUUUGGUUUAAAACACUCCACCAGGCUCUUUAUAUAAGGACUAAGACCUGACACAAACUGGAAACAUACUAGUCAUCAGGUAUAGCAGGAUUUUCUCUCCUCAUAACAUUGAGCAGUUGCUCAAGUUGCUCCACAUAGGCAGUCACAGUCGCUGUUUGAUGUGCAGCAUGAAAGCUACUGAGAAUAUCACAUACCGAUUCCAUAGAAAACCUUUCAGACAGGUAAGAGCAGAAUUUAUGCCAUGGCACAUUAGAAGGUGCAUAUCCAGUACCUCUCCACCACUGAAUUGCAGGACCUUUAAGAUAGGAGAUGGCCAGUUCUGUUCUAUGUUCAAUGGGGGUUCUGGCAGCAGCAAAAUACUAUUCCAAGAUCUGAAUCCAAGACUCAGGAUCAUGUCCUUCAAAUUCAGAAAUGUUCAAUUUAGCUGGCUUAACAGUCAGAGCAUUUCUUCUUCUGUAGUAAUUAUCAGCCCCUUCUUCUUUAUGUAUUUCGUCUAACUGCACAACAUUUCUCUAUACUGCUUGUACACUUUCCUUUUCUUUGCUUUGCCCAUAGUUUGGAUGUUUGUAAGGUACUUUAGGAGUACCAUCCAUAUUCAGUUCUUUGCCUGUAUGGUCUCUAAGAGUGGCAUUACCAACCGGCAAAGGAUCCCCCUUGUCAGGCAUUGCAACUGAGGAAGGAGUAGGAACCAAGAGCUGCUUUGGUCUACCAGGAGCCACUAUUGGAGAUUGCAGCUGGUUCUCUUUCGGUUGCACACUCCCCUGUCCUUCUUCUGCUUCAUCUACCUGCUCUGGCUCAGGGUCCAGCAGUAAGCGUCUGAAAUUUGCCUGUAUCUUGUCAAAAUUCUUUUGCAUAGUGGCGAAAUUUCUGUUGACAACUGCCUGGAAUUGUUGGAACUCUUGACGAUCCUCCUCUCUAUCUUGCUGCAGGGUCUUGAUGUCCAGCUCCAAGGACUCCAACUGCAGGGCAGCAGUAGUCCCUGAAUCCACAACCUCCGGCAUGCUGCUGGGGUUGUCAAUCUGCACCAUAUAGGGUUGGGAGGGAGGGAUUAAGACGCCGACGUCGCCUUACACCGCUUCCAGCGCCCGCCGCCACACGAACACAUUCAGAUCGUCGGAUCUGGAAUUUUACCACUUAAGAAUUGUUCUUAAGCAACCAGACGGACUGCCUGACUGUCGUCGAACAGUUGCCACUCCGACCGCCGCCUGUUGUCACCGCCACACCAAAUCGCGCAGAGGGAUUUUACGGACGAAACCAACCUUGCGCUGCUCCAAUCGUCGCCCUAGCCAAGGAAAGACUGGCUCUCGAUACCAAUUGUCAGGACCAGAGUCCCAAUCAACGGGUUUUAAGUAAGAACAGAGUCGAAUUCAGACGAAUUUUGAAGGAAGUGAACUAGGGUUUCUCUUGCAUGAAAAGGGAAAGGUAGUUUAGCACGCCACCGGCGGCUAGGGUUUACACCCAAUAAUCUUUUACAUGCCCAAAAUGAGAGAGAGAGAUGGCUUAUAUAGCCAUUACAGCAGUUAGAAAGUGAAAAGAAGAAAAGCAGAGCACACGGUCUUGUCGGACGAUGAAUAGCUCCUCGGGCGCCACCAGAGCUGUUGGAUGAUCCAUCAAGGGACGAGAGCAGCCGAUCAUCAGUGAACCGUUAUCUUGUACUAAUGGCCACACGAUUCAAGAUGGACGGUUGUAGGAUCAUCAGGCACGUAGGAACAGGGGAGGUUCAGACUUGGGCUUGACAGAGUGACCGCAGCAGCAGGGGGACUGAUAUUCGUGUAUUCCUGCAGUUCCCUGACGAAGGUUGCAGCCACAGAAGAAUCCUGUCCAGGCUUCUACACCGGCAUCAGCAGAAGCAGAGGCGCUUCUGCUGGCUGCAAAUCUUGCUCAGCGGUUUGACUUUGGCCAAAGCAGCAGCUCAAAGAAACAUAUCUUCGGACAAGAUUAGCUGGGUGCCUCUCAAGGUCUACGUGCCCAAGUACAGUAUUUCAUAUCUUCAGCUGUGUCAAAUCAGCUCGCAGGAGUAAUGCUUUGACAUGGGGCACUACCUCGCCUCUCGCUCCUCUAUGUACACUUGGGCUUUGCCUUCUUUGAGCAAUGCAUUCAAAAAAAAACAUGGCGCUUUUUCCCGUUCGAAAUAUACAAAACAUGGACUUAGAUAAGUGGCGAAUCAAACUUGCAAGCACAUAAGUAACUCAGCCAGGCAAUAAGCAUCUAUCUGACCUCUUUAAUUCUCUGUACAAUGCUGGCUUUCGAAACUGAACUUCAUGCUAUACAUUCAGCAAUUGACUAACGGUUAACAACAUAUAACAUAUCUGAAUUUUUUGGACUUCCUCCCAGUUUAUUUUCUCUCUCUCUUUUUGAACUCAUAGACUUCUUUCCACUUGUCAUCGUCGGUAACUAUUUUUUUGUUUAUCCCCCGCAAAAAAAACUAUUUAUUUAUUUAUGUGUUUGAACUUGCAUGAAAUUAUAUGAUCAUGGAUUUCUUCAAUAGACAUCAUCAGUGUCAGCUUCAUAUGACGUACUAGUAGCAUCUUCUGACCUCUUCUAGUUAUAAACAUAUAUAAUGAUGACACUGAAGAAAAUUACAUCUACAAGAAGCUGAAACUUGUGGGAAACAUCUUAAAUCGUCUACACACACAAAUCAUAGACAGCAAAAGAUGCACGAAUCAAACGAUGCAAGUCAUCAGUCCAACUUUAUUGCUCAACUAGCAUCUAUAUUACUCUUCCCACGCACAAGGAAAGCUUAUCUAACAAUUUGAUGGUGCAGCAGCAACUGAAGUUUAGAAGACACGCACAUCUUCAUCAACAAAUAAACAAUUUAACGCAUGUAAUAUGUGAAAUUGCUUGUCAGGUACUCCCUCCGUCCGGAAAUACUUGUCCUCGAAAUGGUUGUAUCUAGACUUAUUUUAAUUAUAGAUACAUCCAUUUUAUCCAUUUUGAGGACAAGUAUUUCCGGACGGCGGGAGUACAAGAGAUAAGUGCUACUAUUACUAUAUAGGCGUGGGUAUAUCUAUCUAUGUCUACAAUCAACAUUAGAUUGAGAAAACAAGCUAGGUGGCAUCAGCUGCAACCCAUGAUGACCAGGCGUAGAGCACACGCCCCUUCCACCUGUGUAGCAACCACCGCUGAUCCGCAUCAACAACAAAGUUCCUGUGGUAGUUGUCCUUGACCUUAUCCAGGACAAGCUUCACAACCUCUGGAUUCAACGGCAGCUGCCUCAGCCCAGCCCGGUGGUUCCGGAGCUGCCACUGCUUGUACGUCUCAGGGCGCUCCACCCGGUCCGCGCCUUCACAUGCGAGCACAUUUAGGCAAGACCGCCCAAAGAUGUCGCGCUCGAGCAGCAGACGCCCUUCGUUGUCCCGGGGGACGGUUGUGUCCAGCAGGUCGAACUGGGCCGAGUAAUGGAACAGUGCCUCCCGGAACCGUGUCAGGAAGGAUGUAGCGCCGUAUGAGCCAUUCAUAAUGCCAUGGAUGAACACAUCAGGACGCAUCUUCUUGAUGUUGUUGAGGACCUGAUCCCUAGGGCUUGGACCAUCAAAGCCGAGGCUUUCGUCCAUCAGGUGCCUGAAUUGGCAAAGACUGAUCACCACAAGCACCUCGUCCCGGUCGAUGUUCAGGUCCUCCGGUCGGACAGUCUCCCGCUUUGCUGGGAUACCACGGAACUUGAACGGCACGCCGAACACGCGGGCAAAGUUUCUGAGCCUACGCCCUGUCUCCUCAAUGUGGUAGGCUCCGUGGAACCCAGGUUGAGGGAGGUCAAUGCCGGUGAUCCUCACCUCCGGUGGCCCACCUUCUCUAGCUGCGAGCAUGCGCAGCAAACCUGGCCACUGGAGACCUUGAUUAAGACCAUAGUCCACAAUGUGCAACCGUCUCUUACCUGCCACAGCGUUGCAGAUGGUCUUGUCGGCGAAGAUGUAGGCCACCUUCUUGCAGCAGCAAGCCGCCAUGUAAAGCUGGUUGGCCUUGAGGAAGUCGGCUACCGAGAUGCGACUUAGUAGGAGUGACUGGUACAGCUCGCUGCCCCUACCCGCCAGCCGUGCCUCCAGCCCAUUGGCAAAAUAAUGCGCCAGCCUUUGGCCUGCGUCCCCCUUGGGGGACGAAUGCUGCCUGAUUCGCUUCAGCAGCUCAACGGCGCUGUGGCGGUUGUCCGUGGACAGAGCCUGAGCGCAGUUGAGCAGCAGCGUGUGCAGGUCCACCAUCUCACUAUCGUCCACGGUGGUCUUUCUCGACCGGCCCUUCUUCCGGCUGCUCUUCUCUGGCUCACCGUUCAGGUUCUGAAGAGUCCCCUUCAUGCAUAUCUCGUGUUCCUGGAACAUCAUUUCGUCAAACAUGUUGCGUUCCUCCUGCUCCGGCAUCAUCAAUUUGCUGGGCCUGCCCACAUCCGGCUCCAGUGCCGGUGCGGCCCUCUUUUUCUUGAGGCUGGCAGCAUUCCCGCCUCCCACCACUGUCCCCUCCUUGAUGGGCGGGAGGCUGAUGUCGGGCGGCAAGAACUUCCUAGCCUCCUCCAUGCCUUUGAGGAAGGCCAGGUUGAGCAUGUCCUGGUCGCCGGGCAACAAGUGAUUGAACAAGUCAGAGCUCGGCUGUUUGGCCAUCUCGUCGCCGUUGAGGAGCCCCGAGCUUUGAUUGUCCGGGGAGGCGGAGGCAUGGCCGUUGACAUCGGUGUAGGACGGGCGUGAGAUCUGGACUGGUGCGUCGUCGGGCGAUGCCGAUGCCGAUGCCGAAGCAGUUGCGGUGCUGGGGGUGGUGGAGGCAGUUGCGUCGGAAGAGGAGGAGGGCGAGGGCGUGGAGGUGGAGGCGCUGGCGCUGUCGGCGACGUCGACGAGGAUCUGCGCGAAGGGCUGCUGCGCGCGCAGGACGGCGGGGUGGUUGGGGUAGAGGUAGAAGAGGUGGUCCUCCGUGCCCUCCUCCAUGAGCAGGCGCGAGAUGUAGGGGAGCACCAUGUCGUCGAAGGAGGAGUGGCCGUCGUCGUCGUGGCCGCCGCGGGGCGUCGGCGGCAGGUCGAGGAAGAGGGACGGGGAGGGCGGCUCGAGGCGCGCAAGGAAGCCCUGCUGCCCCAGGAACUCCUCCGGCGUGGCGGCCAUUGCGCUUCUGGUUGGUGCUUGACACUGGAGUAGCUAUCUAGGCUGCGUUGCACAUGGAAGGGCAUCACCCCGCUGCUUUUCUCCUGUUUAAAAGGAAAGGAUGGAAUGGGAGCAUGGGCAGGGAGGAGGGAAGGUUCCAGGAAGGAGCCGAUGAGGUGAGAAAUGGAGGAGGAGGACAUCAAAAUGAAUGAAGCUGGCCCGUGCAGUGCAGUGCAGGUACACCAACCCAACCCUAGCAAGCAAGCAAAGCAGAGUACGUAUGUGAUGGGCAUUGACCGUCCCCGCGUUCCCCGGGAUCAUAUCUAGUAUCUAUCUUUGCAUCCAGACUAUAUCUAGUAUCUAUCUUUGCAUCCAGACUCAAAUGCAUACUCUGAAGAAACACAAUUCUGUUGGGAGGUAGCACUACAAGUUUGACUCGGUUGCAUAUGCUUCCGACCAUGAGGCCAACUCCAAUUUGCAUUUGCGUUGGCCGGGCGCCCAAUGCGUGGCCGCAUCUUCGGCUCAUCUCGUCGGCCGGAGGCCAAGUACAACGAAACGAAGCAUAGCAAAAAUAGUUUAAAUCAAACAUAUGUUUAAAAUAGUAUUUUAUUACAAUCCAGUUAAAGUUUUAGAAAUAUCAAAUAGUCUUACAAAACUACUUAAAGUUUGUGCACACGGAAAGAUUAAACCAAUAGACCUAUUGAUUGCCAAUGUGAUCCCACAUGAGCUCAACCAAGUCAUCUUGCAGCUAUGUAUGAGUGUUUCGAGCACGCAACUCACGAUGAAAUUGGACAAAUUGUUCAAAGGUUGCAGAAGGUGGGUGCCCCGACUCAACAUUCUCACCCUGAAAAUCAAACCCUUGGUCAUACAUACUGCUAUCUCAUCCUUAACAAUCAUAUUGUGCAUGAUCACACAAGCAGUCAUCACCUCCCAAAGCUUCUGAGUGCUCCAUGUCAAUGCAGGGUUUCAAACAAUACCCCAUCGAGACUAAAGCACGCCAAAUGCACGCUCCACAUCUUUCCUAGCACUCUCCUGCUCCUUGCGGAUUGGGUAUGGUCUUCACAAGAGUGGACCAUUGGGGAUAUACCUCAGCUAGAUAAUAUCCCUUGUUGUAAUGGUGACCAUUGAUCUCAAAGUUGACCUCUAGGCAAUGGCCUUCUGCAAGCCUUGCAAACACUGGAGAAUGCUGAAGAACACUAAUAUUAUUGUGAGAACCAGCCAUGCCGAAGAAAGAAUGUCAUAUCCAUAGAUCUUGUGAAGCCACAGCUUCAAGUAUGACAGUGACACCUUUCACAUGUCCCUUGUACUGCCCCUGCCAAGCAAAUGGAUAGUUCUUCCACUUCCAGUGCAUACAAUCGAUACUACCAAGCAUGCCCGGAAAUCCUCUCUCGGCAUUAAUCAUCAACAACCACUCUGUAUCAACAGCAUUUGGUUCCCUCAGGUAUUCAGGACCGAACACUACCACCACGGCCUUGCAGAAACUAUACAUUGAGAGGAGGCAUGUGGACUUACUCAUACGCACAUACUCAUCCACAAGAUCAUCGCGAAUUCCAUAUGCAAGCAUGCGAAUAGCCGCAGUGCAUUUCUGAUAAGAAGAAAAACCAAGCUUGCCAAGGGCGUCCUCUUUGCAUUCAAAGUAUGGGUUAUAUGCGACCACUCCUUCCCGAAUACGAUUGAACACAUGCCUCCUCAUUCAGAAGCAGCGAUGUAAGGGCAUAUUUAUCCCCAAGAUGUUUUGGUGAUUGAUGACAAUGCUUUUGCGGACUAAUCGUGUGCGUUGAGUUCUUUCAGAGAUUCAUCCUUUGGCACGAGACGAUUUCUUCCCCUCGGUGUUUUAUUCAAGACGGUGUAGCUCCUUCGUUUCUCUGCUGGUAGUCUAGUUUCGUAGGAGUCACCGUACUAUCAAGAGGGGAUCCGCUUUGGUAAGGCUAGGGUGGAAUCAACACGUACACAUCCUUAUCACACCCGAUGCUUCUCUCCGCUUCAUUGGAGCUAUCUUUCCUAAAUCUGUGCCUGCCUGUCCUGUCCCAGCGGUAGUACCACGGCCCUCACCGGUAGUACCGCCGAAGCUCGUCAAGCGGUAGUACCGCUCCCCGAGCUGUAGUACCGCUUGCGAACUUCGGCCGUAGUACCGCAGUGGUUCCGGGCUACUACCGCCUAGAUUCUCGACCGCUGUUUUUCGUGUUGGGUUUUACGGUACUAGUAGCGGCAGUAGCAACGGUAGUACCGCUCCAAGCAGUAGUACCGCUUAUACUUCCGCGGUAGUACCGCUCGGGGGACAGGACUCUACAUCCCUUGUCAGCGCGGCAGUACCGCUGGGAGGGAGCGGUAGUACCGCCUAUCAACGGUAGCACCGCCCUGCCCAAGCGGUAGUACCGCUCUGUGCGUGGCUGUUUGGUGGGUAACGGUUGGAUUGUUUCCCCAACUAUAUAAAGGUGUCUUCUUCCCCAAAGUUGACUUAUCUCUUCCCCCCAAAGCUCCAUUGUUGCUCCAAGCUCCAUUUUCGCCCGAUCUCUCUCCCUAGCCAAUCAAACUUGUUGAUUUGCUCGGGAUUGGUUGAGAAGGCCCCGAUCUACACUUCCACCAAGAGAAAUUUGAUUUCCCCCACUUAUCCCUAGCGGAUCUUGUUACUCUUGGGUGUUGAGCACCCUAGACGGUUGAGGUCACCUCGAAGUCAUACUCCAUUGUGGUGAAGCUUUGUGGUGUUGUUGGGAGCCUCCAAGUGUUGUGGAGAUAGCCCCAAUCUUGUUUGUAAAGGUUCGGUCGCCGCCUUCAAGGGCACCAAUAGUGGAAUCACGGUAUCUCGCAUUAUGUGAGGGCGUGAGGAGAUUACGGUGGCCCUAGUGGCUUCUUGGGGAGCAUUGUGCCUCCACACCGCUCUAACGGAGACGUACUUCCCAUUAAAAGGAAGGAACUUCGGUAACACAUCCUCGUCUUCAUCGGCUCCACUCUUGGUUAUUCCGUGCCUUUACUUUUGCAAGCUUACUUGUGUUGUAUCUAUUGCUUGCGUGUGUGCUAGUUGUCUUUGCAUCAUAUAGGUUGUACACUUAGUUGCAUAUCUAGACAACCUACUUUGUUGCAAGGUUUAAUUUGUUAAAGAAAAGCUUAAAAAUUGUUAGUUGCCUAUUCAACCCCCCCCCCCCCUCUAGUCAACCGUAUCGAUCCUUUCAAUUGGUAUCAGAGCCUUGUCUCUUUAUUAAGGACUUUGCCGUCCGAAGAGUAUGGUUGACACCCACGACGGUGCGAAGGAGCACUCCGGUGUGAAUCCUAUCUCAUCUACGGCCGAUGGGGGAACCUCGGUCUCACGUGAGGAAUUCAAUGUGGCUUUCGACACAUUGAAAACCUCCAUGACGGCCGAGGUUAAAAGAAUGUUUUCUGAAUUCCUAGAAGGACUUAAACUAUCCACCUCGCCGAUGAAAGUGGGUGAUCCCACUAACAAGGUGACGGAUGCCACCUCCGACAAGGAGGAAGCUAAUAGUGAAAAAGGUCCUUCUACUAGUGGUAGAAAUGGCUCCGGCAUCUUUGCCCAUGUGGAACCUCCUACUUAUGGUGGACCGAUUCCCACUACUCAUUUAAAUCAUGCCGGUCCUCCUCCUAAGAUUGUGAAAAAUGAGGUUUUUGAUGCUUGGAUUUAUCGUUUCAAGCGUCAUUUAAAACAUGUGAAUACUAAUCUUUGGAGAAUUAUAGAAGAAGGUUUCUAUCCACAUGACCCAAGCAACUUCACCCCUCGAGAAGCCGUGGACAAUCAAUUCAAUGAGAGUGCUCUCUUCAUCAUCCAAGAUGCAAUCCUUCCCGAAGAUCUCCCUCAUCUUCGUCCUCAUGCCAUGGCUAAAGAUGCAUGGAAAUGUGUUGUGUCUCUCUAUCGAGGAAGUGCUAGCAUUCAACGCUCCAACUAUGAAGUGGUGCAAGAUGAAGCCGAUGAGUUUGCAAUGAAAGAAGAUGAAGAACCUCGUGAGCUCUUUCGAAGAGUGACCAAACUCGCGGUCGCACUCCGAGAUCAUGGGAGCAAGGACACGGAUGACAAUUGGAUCAAGCGCAAGUUCCUCAAGGCCAUGAUGCCCUACAACAAGGCCAUGUCCUCCUCAUUUUUCAAAGACCGGACUUCCACUCCAUGACCUCAAGUGAAGUGUUGGAUGAGUUCUUUGCAAUGAGCAUCUUGGACAAGACCGCCGAUAAUGUGGUGCUCCGUUCUCAAAGGUCAAAGAAGCCCAACCUUGCCUUGAAGGCCAAGGUUAGUGUGGAAGAAGAAGAAGAAGAGGAAGAUGAGGAGAGCAACCCCGAAGACACGAAGUAUGAUUAUCAUGAGCACAUGGCUCUUUCCUCAAGACAAUUUUGGAGUAAGAAGAAUACAAGACCCAACUUCAACAAGAACAACUCAAGUGGCCUCAAGGGCAAGCAACGAGUUAGAACUUGUUUCAACUGUGGCAAUGUGAGCCAUUUCAUUGUGGAUUGUCCUUACGAGAAGCGGGAAGACAAUGGUGGCAAGUUCAUCCGAAAAGACAAAGCCAAGUCCUUCCCAAACAAGAACAACUUCACCAAGAAAACUCCUACACGCGGGUUGGUAGUUCAAGAAGAAUACCGUGAGGAUGACGAUGAUGAUGAAGAUAGUGAAGCAACGGCUAUGGCAUCCGUUGCCAUUGCCACAACUCCCCGGGUGUCUCUCUUCGAUUCACCCAACGAGAACAUCACCGCCAAGUGCCUCAUGGCUAAAGCCACCAACAAGGUAACCCCCAACAUCAAAACCACCAUUAUUCCUAAUCCUCCUUCAACGGAUGACUUUGAUGAUGGUAAGGGGUCCAAUGAGGAGGUAAAUGAAUUUGAGUCCUUCAUGAGUAAGCUCAAGGGCAAAUCCAAGAAGCACUUCGUUGCUCUCUUGGAACAACUUGGUGAAGCCAAUGACAUGAUCGAGGCUCACGAAGAAACCAUCUCUAAGAUGGAAGGUCAUAGUCGUGACUAUGCCGAUGAGAUAUCGGAUCUCUCUAAUGCUCUUGAGGAAGAGCGCGGGCAUCGUUUGGCUCUUGAGGAGUCACACAAUGAUGACCAUGCCAAAUUAAAGAAAGAUCUUGAUCAUGCUCUUGUUGUGUCUCGUGUUCUAACUUCCGAGAAGGCUAAACUUGGGGUUGAUCAUACUAGACUCAAGGAGGAGUUUGAUGUACUUGACAAGGCCCAUAAGGUCUUGAAAGGUGCUCAUGCAAACCUCAAGGAGUCUCAUGCUCAACUCCAAGUUAAGCUAACUAAGGAAAAGGCCACAUUUCCUCACAUGGUCUUAAUUGAUAAUGCAAAUGCUACUAACCCAUGUUGUGAGCAUGUGCAUCUUGUGGAGGAGAAUGCCAAGUUGAAGGAACAACUCGAGAAAGGUCUUGUGUUAUGCAUACAAGGCGAGAAAAACCUAAAUGAACUUUUGAGCAAUCAAAAGGAAGUUGUGGGCAAGGAGGGAGUUGGGUUCUCACCCAAGUCCAAGAACAAAAAGAAGAACAAGGAAAAGAAUAACAAGGCCAAACGACCUCCCCCGCUCAAGCAAACCUUUGUGAAGGAGGGAGAGGGUGCUCCUAAGGAGAAGAAGAACAAUGCGAAGAGUGGUGAUGCCAAAGAGCGCAAAGCCAACUCUCCCAACAAAGCCGGUGACUUUAAUCCCUCUUAUGUGUUGUGCCGUGCUAGUGAUGGGCAUGUUUAUGCUAAAUUUGUUGUUUCUUCUUAUGAGUACAUUGAAUGGUCUAUUUGGGUUCCUAAGACCCUUGUUACUAACAUCAAAGGACCCAUUACUCAAUGGGUACCUAAAACCAAGCAUUGAUCUCUUGUAGGUGUUUGCUUCCGGUGGGGGAUCAUGGUUGCUCGACAGUGGAGCAACAAAUCAUAUGGACCGGGAGCAAGGACUUGGUGGUGGACGUGCAAAAGAUCCCAUCUAUGCCCACCAAUGUCGAGUGGGGUGAUGCCUCACAUUCUAAGGUAUUGGGUCUUGGCAAGGUUGUCAUUUCUCAUGAUCUAACGAUCGAGAAAGUCAUGCUUGUUGAGUCCCUUGUGUUCAAUUUACUUUCCAUUCAUCAACUCGCACUCAUGGGCUUUGCCACCUUCUUUGAUAUUGAUACCGUGGCCCUCUUAUGGAGCAAGACUCUUAAAGUAGCCUUUGUUGGGCAUGUUGAGAACGAUCUCUAUGUGAUUAACUUUUCGGAGCAACCCACUAAGACCGCGACAUGCCUAAUGGCUAAAGUUGAUGUGGGAUGGCUUUGGCAUCGCCGUUUAGCCCACGUCAAUAUGAGAUCUUUGCAAAGUCUUCUCAAGGGGGACCAUGUCCGUGGACUAACAAAUGUUAGUUUUGCCAAAGAUCGUGCUUGCAGUGCUUGUAUCGAAGGAAAGCUUCAUGAGACGGCUCACCCUCCCACGACUAUCAUCUACUCGAAGAGACCCUUGGAGCUCCUGCACAUGGACCUCUUUGGGCCUCCAUCCUUUGAUAGUCUUGGGGGUAGAAAGUAUUGCUUGGUGAUUGUGGAUGAUUAUUCAAGAUACACUUGGGUAUACUUCUUCAAGAGGAAGAGUGAGACUCAACAAACCGUCAUCGACUUUGCAAAUGAAGCUCAACGUCAACACAAUGCAAAGAUCUUGACAAUAAGAAGUGACAACGGCACCGAGUUCAAGAACUACACCUUGGAUGAGUUUCUUAGUGAUGAGGGGAUCAAGCAUCAAUAUUCUGCACCAUAUACCCCUCAACAAAAUGGUGUUGCGGAGAGGAAGAACCGGACGUUGAUGGAUGCGGCAAGGACCAUGAUGGCGGAGUUCAAGUCUCCGUACAACUUUUGGGCCGAAGCCAUCAACACUACAUGGCAUGCAUCCAAUCGGCUCUAUCUCCGCAAAGGCUUGAACAAGACUCCUUAUGAGAUACUCACCGGGAACAAGCCCAAUCUCAAGUACUUCCGGGUGUUCGGGUGUAAGUGUUUCAUUCUCAAGAAAGGUGUUCGUUUGUCUAAAUUCGAGGCUAGAGCUUAUGAGGGCAUAUUUGUUGGUUAUGCUACAAACUCUCAUGCUUACCGUGUUCUCAACAAGUCCACCGGACUCAUUGAGGAGACGUGUAACGUGGAGUUUGACGAAAAUAACGGCUCCUAAGUGGAGCAAAGUGGUACUUGUGAUGUAGGUGAUGAAAUUCCUCUCCAAGCCAUAAGAAGAAUGGGUAUUGGUCAUAUACUACCCAUUGAGGAACCCCUUGUGGCCGAAGGAGAAGGACAAUGCUCCACUCAAGUGGAGCCUUCGUCUACUCAAGACCCACACGCUUCCGAAGAACAAAGUGUAGGCCCUCAACCUCGGGAACAAGACCAAGGGCAAGAUCAAUCUCAAGAUGAUGAUGAACCUCCAAUUGAUGCCCAAGGUGAAGUUCUCCCCCUCGAGCAAGUUCAAGAUCAUGAGCAAGCUCAAGAUCAAGAACAAGCUCAAGACGGCGCUCAAGAUGAUCAAGUUAACCCUCCUCCUUCCACUUCUGAGGAGGAAUUAGAGCGUCGUGCCGCGAAGAUUGCUUCCAAACUCACCACCAAAGGCCAUCUCAUGGAAAAUGUGGUUGGAAGUCUAAGAAAGGGGGUAAGCACUCAUAUACAAUUAGCAAACUAUUAUGAACAUCACGCGUUUGUCUCUUGUGUUGAACCCCAAAAGGUUUAUGAGGCGCUCGAAGACUCGGAUUGGCUCAAUGCCAUGCAUGAAGAACUCAACAACUUCGAGUACAACAAGGUGUGGAGAUUGGUGCCAAGGCCAUCAGGGAACCACAACAUCAUUGGAACCAAGUGGAUCUUCAAGAACAAGCAAGAUGCUCAUGGGAACAUCAUUUGCAACAAGGCAAGAUUGGUAACACAAGGCUACUCCCAAGUCGAGGGUAUCGACUAUGGUAAAACCUUUGCUCCCGUUGCUCGUCUUGAAUCCAUACGUUUGUUGAUUGCUUAUGCUUCCCAUCACAACUUUAAGUUGCAACAAAUGGAUGUGAAAAGUGCUUUUCUUAAUGGUCCCAUUAAUGAGUUGGUUUAUGUCAAGCAACCCCCCGGGUUCGAGGAUCCUUACUUCCCGGAUCAUGUGUAUCAACUCGAUAAGGCACUCUAUGGCCUUAAACAAGCCCCACGUGCGUGGUAUGACCACCUUACCGAGUUGUUACAAGAUCGUGGAUUUGAAGUUGGGCAAAUCGAUCCCACUCUUUUUACUAAGAAGGUCAAAGGGGAGUUGUUUGUGAAGGCCCCGAUCUACACUUCCACCAAGAGAAAUUUGAUUUCCCCCACUUAUCCCUAGCGGAUCCUGUUACUCUUGGGUGUUGAGCACCCUAGACGGUUGAGGUCACCUCGAAGCCAUACUCCAUUGUGGUGAAGCUUCAUGGUGUUGUUGGGAGCCUCCAAGUGUUGUGGAGAUAGCCCCAAUCUUGUUUGUAAAGGCUCGGUCGCCGCCUUCAAGGGCACCAAUAGUGGAAUCACGGUAUCUCGCAUUGUGUGAGGGCGUGAGGAGAUUACGGUGGCCCUAGUGGCUUCUUGGAGAGCAUUGUGCCUCCACACCGCUCUAACGGAGACGUACUUCCCAUUAAAAGGAAGGAACUUCGGUAACACAUCAUCGUCUUCACCGGCUCCACUCUUGGUUAUUUCGUGCCUUUACUUUUGCAAGCUUACUUGUGUUGUAUCUAUUGCUUGCUUGUGUGCUAGUUGUCUUUGCAUCAUAUAGGUUGUACACUUAGUUGCAUAUCUAGACAACCUACUUUGUUGCAAGGUUUAAUUUGUUAAAGAAAAGCUUAAAAUUUGUUAGUUGCUUAUUCACCCCCCCCCCCCUCUAGUCAAUCGUAUCGAUCCUUUCAAGCGACAAAAUUGAUGCGGUUUGUAGAGUGUGGUGCUCUCAAAGUAAUCGGAAUAGAGGAGGUGGUGUCAUUUCUCCCUAUUGCGGUUCAAGGCCGGGGCAUGCCCGGGGAUUGAUCCCCUAAACCGAGGCCGCAUCCUACUGAUGUGGUCGUGGACGACCAAUGCUGCCACCAUUAUGUCCUCGUCGUCCAAGGAUGAAUCAUCCGAUUAACAAAUGAAGUUGUGAAAGAAGUAUUCAUCUCUGCUAUCCAUGAUACCUUGCAAGCAAAGCGUCGAACAGCUUGGGGGCGUGGUGGAGACGCGGUCGGAAAGGGCAUGUCAAGGCCGUUGGUUUGCAACAAGGUGGACGACAGCGAGCGGAGGGCGGAGCGCCGACUGGGAAGGAAGAAAAGGGGCUGCUCCACCGACAGGCAAAGCAAGGUGGUGACGGGCGUGGCGGCGGCGAUGGCGAGGGGCCGAGGGCGGAGCGACGAAAGGGGAGGAAGAAAUGGGCUAUGUCUCCGACGGGCGGGCCAGGGAAGGACAAGGGCGCCCGUCCGCCCGCUGUCCGUUUGACCGCAAACGCGGCCCAAAUUUGGAUCGGGAAUGGGUCGAAAGCGGACCGAAAACGGACAUUUGUCAGUUUGCUCUCGCGCGUUGGGCUGUGGUUUGUGUCCGUUUAGCCCCAAACGGACGUGGGCGGACGAUUUGGGAUCGUGAGUUGGAGUUGGCACGAUGACUUGGGGUGGGCCUGCUGUACAUACAUGUAAACAUGAUGCUUCAAAAGUCAUAGCCAGAGAUGGAGAUAGACUAAACUGCUCUACCUACUUAGAAAACAUCGGACAGUUAGCUUUGUAACAAAGUUAGUUAUCGAUGCUUAGUGCGGCGUGUUUCCCUCUCUACGCGCAUGGGCUUAAAAUAUCAGAAAUGAGCAUCUAUCUAACCUCUGACUACAAGUUUAACUUUAAUUACUCACUACACUGCUAGCUAACCUCUGAUGCCUUCACAAAUUGACCAACGAUUAACCAAUAUAUAUCAGAUUUCAAUAUUUGGACCUGUUCUCAGUUCGUCAAUAACUGUUUAUGUAUCACUGCCAACUUGGAUAAAAGAUUAUAUGGUCACGGAUUUCUUCAGAAGACACCAUCUGUGUCAGCUUCAUAUGAUGUAGGAGCAUCCUCUGACCUCUUUUAGCUGUAAACUAACCAAUAGCUAGAAGAAAGUUAUUUCACAGAAACUGAAACAUGAGAGGAGCCUACUGUCAGUUUUAAAGCAGAAGCCAUGGAAAUCAUAAUUUUCGCUUUUCUCUUUUUGAGGGAAUAAACAUAAUUUUAGCUAUAUGUCUAUUUGGAAUACAGGAAUGACUUCAGGUUCGAAGGCCUCCAACCAAAUCUCUACUCCCUCCGUUUCUAAAUAUAAGUCUUUGUACAGAUUCCACUAUGAACCACAUGCGGAUGUAUAUAGAUGCAUUUUAGAGUGUAGAUUCAUUAAUUUUGCUUCGCAUAUAGUCUAUAGUGGAAUCUCUACAAAGACUUCUAUUACGAACAGAGGGAGUACAAGGAGGUUCAAAGUGGAAAUGGAGUGGCUUGCUUAUUCACAGAUAUAAGUGGAGCCAUUUGAUUAUUAGAUGCCUAGAUAUCACCGAAGAGAACCCCCGUACCCCCGCGUCGCCCCGCUAGGGCGACACGGGGGCGAUCUCGCGCCGCCGCCCCUCGUCGUCACCACGUUCCUCCUGUCCUCGCCGCUGCCAGAGGCUAGCGUCGGGCAGGCCCUGGGCGCAGCCAAGGAGGGUGGCGGCGGGGAGCUUCUCGCGCUCGGGCAGGCACAUGGAUCGGAUCCGCCAGAUCCGUCCGGCCCGGGCCUCGGGUUUGAGGCGGCGGCCUCUGCUGGUGAGGGCGGCGUCGUCCGAGAGGCGGGCGGCGCUCGCCGGAGUUGUGGACCGCGUCUUCUCGGCCGCGCGGGCAGCGAGUUGGCGGUGGAUGUGGGCGCCACCUGGAGGGAUCCCCUGCUGCUCUCCUUCGCCAGAUUUGAAGACGACGCCCCCGUGCUGCUGCUUCCUCCUCGUCAAUCCGGCCAGAUCCGGUGGCGGACUGCGCGGAUGUGGGGUUUGGGAUCUCUGGAUCGGAGUAAUUUCUUGGCCGGCUGCGGCGGCCACGACGCCGGCGGCGCCCCAGGCGUUGUUUCCUUCUUGAAGGCGGCUUCGAGAUCCAGCUCCCCCCCCUCGUCCUCCCCCUGCACCCGGGUGAAAACCCACAACUUUGGUUGGGCGGCGGCGGUGCCCGGCUCCGUCACCUUCUUGAAGGCGACGCUUUGGGUCCGCGGGGAGGUGGGACAGCUGCAGCGCGUUCUUGACGUUCCUGAUGGCGGCGGUUCUCUUUAGUGGUGUCGUUUCGCCAUGGCGGUCGGCUGGUCCGGCUCUCGUGGUGAUUGUGGUGCCCAACUCUUCGCCGUGUCUUCCUGGGGUGCUCCCGUCCCGUUCAGAUAGGCUGGAGGUGGAGCGGCUUCAUCUUGCACGGAGCUUCGGUGGAGAUGUCAAGUCAUGCCUGACCGACAGGUGCUACGCUUUAUCAUGCCUGGUCGGCAGGUGCUACGCACGACAGAUCUUCCAAAGACUUCAAGCUGUGUCGGCUGGUGGUACUUGGCAGCAUGGUGCUGAGGUGUAUCAGUGGCGAUCGCGACGUCCUCAGAUGUUUGCGCGCAGGGAGGAGGUGCCGUUGGGCGCCGUGGUGGCGUCGACGAUAGCUGGACCAAGCAAGGUUGAUGCAGUAGUACAAUUCUGAAGAUGGAGCGGUGGAAGUUGGUGGCGGCGGCCUCUGAGUGCACGCCGGACCGGUGAGACCCAUGCCCGGCAGGCGUCCUGGAUGGGAUCUCAGGUCUUAGAUGUUAGGUUUGGCUGUGAUGCCUGUUUGGUAUUAGGCCCAGGCUAUCUGCGCCCCUUCAUCAACUGGAUAGAGUGGCUUAGACGGCAGCUUUAGUCUGACUGUUGUAUUACUUUGUAAGGUCUUGUGAGAAUAAUUAAUAAAGUGGCCGUAUGCAUCACCCAGAUGCAGAGGUCGGGGGUCAUCAUCCUUUUCUAAAAAAAAGGAGCCAUUCAUUUGAUCUCUUGUACUAAUGAAAAUAUGCAAUAGAGGAACCUAUUGCCUUCCUCAAAAAGAUAAUAAAAACAGAAACCUGAGAGCAACAUACUAAAUCAUGCAUGCACACAAAUCAGACGCACAAAAAAGAUGCACACACCGAACACCGAGCAACUCUUUUUACCUUUUCCUUUUUGGUUUAUCUUGUAUUCUUAUCUGAAACACAUAACCGAACCUUGGUCUCUUGGUGCUACCACAUUUCUGACUUGGUUGCAUACCUCUGCUUCCGAACGAGGGAACCCUGCAGAGCACUGUACAUGUUAACAUGAUGAUGCUUCAAAAGUCAUAGCAAGAGAUGGACCAAACUGCUCUACCUACUCCAACCGAUCGUGGGUUAGCCUUGUAACAAAGCUAUCCAUGCUUAGCCCGGCGUGUUUCCACCGCUACGCGCAUCGACUUAAAAUAAGUGGCAACUCAAACCUGCAAAAGCACAUAAAUAACCCACACAAAAGCAAUGAGCAUCUAUCUAACCUCUGAACCAUAUCACCAUUUAAUUACCCCGCAGACUAACCCUGCGGGCUUGCUUUCGGAACUAGAGAUUGACCAACUACUCCCUCCGUUCCUAAAUACUUGUCUUUCUAGAGAUUUCAACAAGUGACUACAUACGAUGCAAAAUGAGUGAAUCUACACUUUAAAAUAUAUCUACAUACAUCCGUAUAUUGAGUCCAUUUAAAAUGCCUAGAAAGACAAGUAUUUAGGAACGGAGGGAGUAUUAACGAACAAUAUAGUUAACGGAUUUUAACCCAUGGACUUCUUCUCAGCUUUUCGUUUAACCCAUGGACUUGUACUCAUUCAGCUGUCAUCGUCGAUGACUAUAUUUAUCUAUCACUGCCAACUUGGAUGAAGUUGUAUGAUCACGGAUUUCUUCACAAGACAUCAUCGAUGUCAACUUCAUAUGAAGUAGUACCAGCAUCUUCUGACCUCUUUUAGCUAAACAUAUAAAUGGUUGAAAUACAUAAUUCUAGCUGUAAACUAACCUAUAGCUGGAAGAAACUAACUAGAAAAAGUGAAACAUGGGAGGAACCUGCUGUCAGUUUUAAAGAAGCUGUGUUUUUUUUUAAAAAAAAAUUAGGGGUAAGAAGAAGCUGAAUUGGCCAUUCUCCAUAGAAAUCAUACCAAUUCUAGCUACAUGGGCAUUGGGCCGUUUGGAACACAAGGAAAAACUUCAUCUUCGAAGGCCUCCAACCAAAUCUCUAAAGAGCCAAGAGGAAAACUAAGCUUUCUUCUGCUUCCUCUAUGUACAGCUCGUUCUUUUUUAUUAAAAAUAAUAAGAUCAUGCAAUAGGAAAACCUACAGCCAAAAGCUGAAACCUGAGAGGAACAUCUUUAACCAUGCAUGCACACAAAUCAGACACACACACGUAAAAAAAAAUGCUCACAUGGAGUGCAACUCUCUUGCUCAACCAACACAUGUUUACUCUUUCCAGGCACAAGGAAAGCCUCUCAAGCAAUUUGAUGAUAGUACAAACAGAAAGUGAAGGCACACAUCUUCAACAAAUAUAUUUUUUUAACUUUAAAUAUACAAAUCGUGACGCUGAAGAAAAUUAUCUAGCACAAACAGAAACCUGUGGGAAACAUCUUCAAUCAUGCAUGUACACAAGUCACAAACGUAAAAGAUGCACACAUAAAACAAUGUAAGCGACCAAUGCAACUUUAUUGCUGAAUCAAGCAUCUGUUUUACCUUCCACAAAGAAAUUCGAUGAUACAACAGAAACUGAAGUUCAUAAGACACAAAGCAUAAAAUCAACUGCUGUGAUCUGUUAAAUCGCUUGUCACCUACAAGAGAAAGAGCAUACAGCCAUACACUAGGAAAGGAAGAUCAGGGUUCUCAUUUCGUUGUGCAUUAUCGCAGCUACACAGCAUGUCCGCAACUACACCUAAAUCCUGUGCAUCUCUAAGCAUCUAAACAUUACAAGACACUACUCUGCGUCCCUACAUAUUUCUACCAUAAAAGUUCCGCCCCCUGUCCAAGCCAUCCUGUAAUGAACCAAAUCUGCCGGGGCAAGAUUUCUGUUGGUUUCGUAAUAGCAUGGGCGUGUGUUAAACACCAUUACCUUCUUUAUCUGCACUCUGAAAUGAAGUGAAGAAAAGCAGCU